AAAGAUUUAGUUUAACAAAAACAUAAAAUUGUCAAUUUUAAAAAACUAAUUUAUAGUAAUCUUUU
rnacentral:tRNA from 1 species